rnacentral:rRNA from 1 species
GACGAACGCUGGCGGCGUGCUUAACACAUGCAAGUCGAACGGAAAGGCCCCUUUGGGGGUACUCGCGUGGCGAACGGGUGAGUAACACGUGAGUAACCUGCCCUUGACUUCGUGAUAACUUCAUGCAACUGGGGCUAAUACCUGAUAGGAAUCCUUGCCGCAUGGUGGGGGUUGGAAAGCUUCGGCGGGUUGGGGUGGACUCGCGGCCUUUCAGCCUGUUGGUUGGGUAGUGGGUUACCAAGGCUUUGACCGGUGGCCGGCCUGGCGGGGGGACCGGCCAAAUUUGGAAUGGGGAUCGGCCCAGGCUCCCACGGGGGGCAGGAGUGGGGGAUAUUGGCCCAUGGGGGGGAGCCCGAUGCAGCAACGCCGCGUGCGGGAUGACGGGCUUCGGGUUUGAAACCGCUUUCAGCAGGGGCGAAGCUUGUGGUGACGGUACCUGCAGAAGAAGCACCGGCUAACUACGUG